AGCGAACGCCGGCGGCAGGCCUAACACGUGCAAGUCGAACGGGCUCUUCGGAGCUAGUGGCGGACGGGUGAGUAACACGUGGGAACGUGCCUUUAGGUUCGGAAUAAGCCCGGGAAACUGGGUCUAAUACCGGAUGUGCCCUUCGGGGGAAAGAUUUAUCGCCUUUAGAGCGGCCCGCGUCUGAUUAGCUAGUUGGUGGUGUAAUGGACCACCAAGGCGACGAUCAGUAGCUGGUCUGAGAGGAUGAUCAGCCACAUUGGGACUGAGACACGGCCCAAACUCCUACGGGAGGCAGCAGUGGGGAAUCUUGCGCAAUGGGCGAAAGCCUGACGCAGCCAUGCCGCGUGAAUGAUGAAGGUCUUAGGAUUGUAAAAUUCUUUCACCGGGGACGAUAAUGACGGUACCCGGAGAAGAAGCCCCGGCUAACUUCGUGCCAGCCGCCGCGGUAACAC
rnacentral:rRNA from 1 species